CCUACGGGAGGCAGCAGUGGGGGAUAUUGGACAAUGGGGGGAACCCUGAUCCAGCGACGCCGCGUGAGUGAAGAAGUAUUUCGGUAUGUAAAGCUCUGUCAGCAGGGAAGAAAGAAAUGACGGUACCUGACCAAGAAGCCCCGGCUAACUACGUGCCAGCAGCCGCGGUAAUACGUAGGGAGCAAGCGUUGUUCGGAAUGACUGGGCGUAAAGGGUGCGUAGGCGGUUAUACAAGUUAGAAGUGAAAUACCCAGGGCUUAACUCGGGUGCUGCUUCUAAAACUGUAAGACUUGAGUGCAGUAGAGGUUAGUGGAAUUCCUAGGGUAGCGGUGGAAUGCGUAGAUAUUAGGAGGAACACCAGAGGCGAAGGCGGCUAACUGGACUGCAACUGACGCUGAGGCACGAAAGUGUGGGGAGCAAACAGGAUUAGAUACCCCUGUAGUC
rnacentral:rRNA from 1 species